GAUGAACGCUGGCGGCGUGCCUAAUACAUGCAAGUCGAGCGAACAGAUGAGGAGCUUGCUCCUCUGACGUUAGCGGCGGACGGGUGAGUAACACGUGGAUAACCUACCUAUAAGACUGGGAUAACUUCGGGAAACCGGAGCUAAUACCGGAUAAUAUAUUGAACCGCAUGGUUCAAUAGUGAAAGACGGUUUUGCUGUCACUUAGAGAUGGAUCCGCGCCGCAUUAGCUAGUUGGUAAGGUAACGGCUUACCAAGGCAACGAUGCGUAGCCGACCUGAGAGGGUGAUCGGCCACACUGGAACUGAGACACGGUCCAGACUCCUACGGGAGGCAGCAGUAGGGAAUCUUCCGCAAUGGGCGAAAGCCUGACGGAGCAACGCCGCGUGAGUGAUGAAGGUCUUCGGAUCGUAAAACUCUGUUAUUAGGGAAGAACAAAUGUGUAAGUAACUAUGCACGUCUUGACGGUACCUAAUCAGAAAGCCACGGCUAACUACGUG
rnacentral:rRNA from 1 species